rnacentral:rRNA from 1 species
GAUGAACGCUGGCGGCGUGCCUAAUACAUGCAAGUCGAGCGAACAGACGAGGAGCUUGCUCCUCUGACGUUAGCGGCGGACGGGUGAGUAACACGUGGAUAACCUACCUAUAAGACUGGGAUAACUUCGGGAAACCGGAGCUAAUACCGGAUAAUAUAUUGAACCGCAUGGUUCAAUAGUGAAAGACGGUUUUGCUGUCACUUAUAGAUGGAUCCGCGCCGCAUUAGCUAGUUGGUAAGGUAACGGCUUACCAAGGCAACGAUGCGUAGCCGACCUGAGAGGGUGAUCGGCCACACAGGAACUGGGACACGGUCCAGACACCGACGGAAGACAGCAGUAGGGAAUCUUCCGCAAUGGGCGAAAGCCUGACGGGGCAACGCCGCGUGAGUGAUGAAGGUCUUCGGAUCGUAAAACUCUGGUAUUAGGGAAGAACAAAUGUGUAAGUAACUAUGCACGUCUUGACGGUACCUAAUCAGAAGACCACGGCUAACUACGUG